AUGCUAAUGCUCUUUCAUCAUUGUCACCUCUCUCAGGAAAAAGCUCCAGUAGAAAGUCACACGUUUGGAAGCCUCCCUCCCAAAGUCCCAGGACACCAUGCUUCUGUGGAUGACAACCCCUUUGGCACUCGAAAAGCCAGAUCGUCCUUUGGUCGGGGCUUUUUUAAAAUCAAAAGUAGCAAGAGGACAGCAAGUGCACCAAACCUGGCUGAAACACAAAAGGAGACAGCGGAGCACUUAGAUUUGACUGGUAUAUCUUCUCGGGCAAAAGACUUACAGGAGACCAGACCAUUCCAGAUGUCUCCACCAUCUCCAGAUUCCAGAAAGAAAUCCAGAGGUAUCAUGAGACUCUUUGGAAAACUUAGGAGAAGUCAGUCAACUACAUUCAACCCAGAUGACAUGUCUGAACCCGAAUUCAAAAGAGGAGGGACAAGGGCAACUGCAGGGCCCUGACUGGGUUGGUCUCGAGAUUUGGGACAGUCUAACAGUGACUCGGAUAUGCCAUUUGCCAAAUGGACCAAGGAGCAGGUUUGCAAUUGGCUUGCAGAACAAGGCUUGGGUCCUACCUGAAUUCUGGCAAGCACUGGAUUGCAUCUGGCCAAACACUUUAGCAGGAUUCUCAACAAAAUCUAGAGAAGGAACUUGGAAUCAGGCAUUCACUUCAUCGAAAGAAACUGCAGCUGGCACUGCAAGCCCUGGGAUCCGAAGAAGAAACAAAUCACGGAAAGCUGGAUUUCAACUGGGUCACAAGAUGAUUGGAUGAUAUUGGCCUCCCCAGUGUAAGACCCAGUUUGAUGAAGGACGGGUGGAUGGUCGAAAGCUACAUUACAUGACUGUUGACGACUUACUGUCUUUGAAGGCUGUGAGUGUGCUGCAUCAUCUCAGUAUCAAGAGGGCCAUCCAGGUCCUGAGGAUCAAUAACUUUGAACCAAACUGCCUUCGGAGGCGGCCAUCUGACAAGAAUAACAUCACGCCAUCCGAGGUUCAGCAGUGGACCAAUCAUCGAGUGAUGGAGUGGCUGCGCUCUGUGGACUUGGCAGAAUAUGCCCCUAAUCUCAGAGGCAGUGGUGUCCAUGGUGGUCUCAUGGUUUUAGAACCUCGUUUUAAUGUAAAAACAAUGGCUCAGUUAUUGAACAUCCCACCUAAUAAGACCUUGCUGCGAAGACAUUUGUCCACUCAUUUCAACCUUCUGUUUGGUGUGGAGGCUCAGCACCAGAAGCGAGAUGCCAUGGAGUUACCAGAUUAUGUACUUUUAACAGCCACUGCCAAAGUGAAGCCAAAGAAACUUACCUUUAGCACUUUUGGCAAUCUGAGAAAAAAGAAACAGGAAGAUGGAGAAGAAUAUGUUUGUCCAAUGGAAUUGGGACAGGCGUCAGGAAGUACCUCUAAAAAGGGAUUUAAACAUUGUUUGGACAUGGGCCUGUAUGAUGAAGAUAAUUUGGACCAGUUAGAGCAGAUGGAAGAUUCAGAAGGGACAGUAAGACAGAUAGGUGCGUUCUCUGAAGGCAUCAACAACCUUACACACAUGUUAAAGGAAGAUGACAUGUUUAAAGAUUUUGCUGCCUGCUCCCCCAGUGCCAGCAUUACAGAUGAAGACUCAUUAGUUUUCAAAUAGUGUAUACAAAAACCAACAGAUUGUAUAUUGUUUCUUGUUCACACUUCUGCUCAUUCAGAAGCGGAAAUGGAAGGCAGGGGACUCAUGCCUGUUCUGAAGUUGCCACGAAAAAUGAGACACUGGUGAAUGAGAGUAUAAUUGCUUUACUCUAUUUAAUGUAAAAAUCUGUGAGGUAUUAUAUUUAAAGCUGCAUUUAAGAUGAGUGUUUUACCAUAGUGUUUCAUUCACAUCCCCAGUGUGGAGGGCUUGGGGAGCAGUAACCAGUAUGUGAAUGACUUUGUCACAUCAUUGUGUUACUGCAGUCAUAGAAGCAGGACAUCUGUGCUCUCAAAGUAAUUCAUCAUGCAGAGUUUCCAGAAACAUUCAUUGUGCCUGCUAAAUGCCAACUAUACCUCUGCUUGCCUCUUACUGUCUUGUUUUUAUAUAUUUUUUUAAGUAUAUGUAUAUAUACCAUACAUAAAAAUAGAACUUUUAUUUUGUGACCUAAGGAAGACAAUGAAAAGAUCAUAUUAAAAACAAAAGCAAAAGAACAGUGAUCUAAAUUUUCACAUAGCAGCUGAUUUCUGAAGAGAUCAGAAUGGUCUUUCUUUUUCUACAACUGAAUUUUUACAAUGUUCAUCCUUCAGACUAAACUAAUAUACAUGAAAUAUGUGUCUUUGAUGACAGCAUAGAAUUGUUGAAGUUUAAGAACUUCACCUUUACCAGGCAUCAGUGGCUCAUGCCGUAGCCUCGCUACUCCAGAGGCAGUGAUCAGGAAGAUCGCAAUACGAGGCCAGCCUGGGCAAAUAGUUUGUG